rnacentral:rRNA from 1 species
GUGGGGAAUAUUGGACAAUGGGCGAAAGCCUGAUCCAGCCAUGCCGCGUGUGUGAAGAAGGUCUUCGGAUUGUAAAGCACUUUAAGUUGGGAGGAAGGGUAGUAACCUAAUACGUUGCUACUUUGACGUUACCGACAGAAUAAGCACCGGCUAACUUCGUGCCAGCAGCCGCGGUAAUACGAAGGGUGCAAGCGUUAAUCGGAAUUACUGGGCGUAAAGCGCGCGUAGGUGGUUCAGAAAGUUGACAGUGAAAUCCCCGGGCUCAACCUCGGAACUGCUUUCAAAACUGCUGAGCUAGAGUACGGUAGAGGGUGGUGGAAUUUCCUGUGUAGCGGUGAAAUGCGUAGAUAUAGGAAGGAACACCAGUGGCGAAGGCGACCACCUGGACUGAUACUGACACUGAGGUGCGAAAGCGUGGGGAGCAAACAGGAUUAGAUACCCCGGUAGUCC